UCGUGGUUCUCAUUUUCAUGAACGCUUGUUCACGAUUUAGGGAACUCUUUUUUCUCCGUGCACAAUGCACAUUCUUGCCUGCCACGAUAUGUUCUUAAACGGUUCUCAAAACGUUUGCCUAACUCACUUCUUAAUCUGACCGUUUAACAACAUCCUGAACGGUUCUAACAACGUUUACUUAACCCUCUACUGCCCAAAUUUUUUUUUUCGAAAAUAUUUAUUUUUCCCCUGUUCAGGAGGUCAUUUUGAGCAACUUUUGUUCUACGAAAAACUUUACUUCUCUUGUUUUAUGUUUUUCUUGUAUCUUGUUUAGUUUAUGUUUGUUUUUGGUAGUAUUUGGCCUACUCUACCAUCUAAUAUAAUUACAUUUCGCCUAUCUAAUUUUUUCAUGUUUUUACAGUCACUUUUUCAAUUUUUUGCAUGUUUUUCACAUUUUCUGCCAUAGAAUCGCACCAUCAUCAUUUAAAUUGCAAAAAAAUGCGUAGAGGCAUAGUCUGGGACACUACAAAAAUUACUGCAUACUUCUUUUUACUGAAAAUAUAGGAAAUGUUAGUAAAAAACACAGCCAAAGUUGACCCCUAAAAAAAUGACAUUUCAAAAAACAUUGGCAAAGUCACAUAAAACAAGUUAAACUUCCAACCCUGAAAUUUUCUAAAAUUUUAAGAGUUCUACUUUCCAAUGCUUUUUAAAUAUCAAAAAUCGGUUAGAAAAUUGAUUUUUGGCGAUUUUUUAGAUCGAAGCCCGUCUAAAGGCGGGGUUAGGUUGUAGAGGGUUAAUGCAAAGCAGUUUUCAUGGCAAACCAAUUCAUAACAAACCCGGAUCCAGCCAAAGACUAAGGAAAAUGCUCUGCUGGUAAAUUCUUCCAGAUAGAGAACUGUCACAGGCUCCCAGGGACAAAAGCAGCAAACAGUUAGUGCCUGGUUAGUGCCUUUUUUCCGGUCUUCGAAGGAAACGCUACACGAGGACGUGGUAGAGUAAGAGAACAAAGGGGUCCUCAAGACGAGUUAAUUGAUAGGUUUACAAGCAAAACUAUUUUCAGGUGAUCCGGUAAGACCGGAUUGGCCAACAAUCGGACAUAGGUCAGACGGGUGUUACGGCAAUAUUUGUAUUUUUAACGAUAUUUAAAUCAAUAUUUUGGACUGUCUCAAAGCGUCAAAGCAAAUAUAAUCACGAGGGUUUUCUUACAAAAUAAGUUAUCACUUAAAAUUAUAUUCUCACGUCACAAAUUGAUUCAUUUAUUACAGUCAAAACAGUGCAGAUCAAUACGUAUCACUACACAAUCGAAAAACAACAAAAAUGUACGCUAACUGAUUGAUUUGCUUCAAAUAAAAAUUCAAAACAAAAAGCGCUGCGCACAGCAAAAUACAUCCAUCUCGUGCGGUGGCGCGAAAAGCAGUGACAGUGACAGCAGCAACAAGCUUUUUCGUUUCUUGUGUUUCUUCUCUUCGCUGCGCUUAAACUUUAUUUUUUUCUCUCGCUCUCCCACCAUCGCUUUAAAGCUUAAUGUUUGAAUAUUUUCCCGUUCGCAUCGGAGUGGCGCUAGUGUUUUGAUGCCUGAAAUUUGACGGAGUUGACGGCAUGUGGGAGGUAGAAAGCCAUUGGCGUCGCCAGCAUUGAAAACUUUGAAAACGAUAUAAACGAUGAAAAGCUUAGAAAGCUCCUAUUGGAAUCCAAUGAACACUGUCAAAUAAACUUACGAAAUCACGAAAAAUGAAGUCUACAUUCCCUGUUUGAAAAAUGUCGCACGUCGUACGAGUUGUCGCACGGUUUUGAUUUUACCGUUUCGAUAUCGAUUGGUCGAAAGGACGACAAACGUGCGACAAACACUCGACAUGCUCGACAUUGUUUUUUCCAUCGAUUUACCUUCAAUUCGACGUCGAUUAUCGUCGACGCAAACAGUUUGACAGUUCUCUUCAGUUGAUCUUGUUCGGACUUGAUCAAAUCAGAAAAACAAUAUUGUUGUAAAGGUUCGUGAGGAUUUUGGCUGGUUGAUUGACUUCCUGAUUUCAGCCUUCGCGACGGUGGAAGAGAACGUGAAACAUCGUUAACCCGGCGGAUCAUGCCGGAAGAUGGGACGGGAAGGAACCGGUCUGCGAUCGAAAGCGGAUUGGGAUCUGUAUCAAACAGUCUCCAAACAGGACAAUGAAAGUGUUGGUGGUGUUUGAUUUUUAGAGAAUGUCAAAAUCGCCAUUAUCAAUACUAAGACCUGGAAAAAAAGAACAAACUUGCGGCCGAGUACAACCUCUGAGUGAAAGCGAUGGAGGUGAACGAACUACUCACGGGGCAGCACACGAAUUCUACCAGAUUGGCCAUCAUCAAGCGAAAUUUGGAAAAUUGUGACUGCAGUGAUAGUGAAUAUUUGGAAAACAAAGUGCCAGGCCAGUGAAAACUAAUAGAUAUCAAUAAAAAUCAGCAAAACAACAAAUAAAAUGAAUUUUAUUUCGAAAAUAACCUAAAAAUUCCUAAAUGACAGCACACGACAAUAGCACGACAUCCUAAAUAACAAAACCGUGCGACGUCGGUCGAAUGUCGUACGACAAUGUCGAACAAUUUCGAUGAUCGAUCGCACGACAAAUACGACAUUUUGGUGCAAAAACGUAUGACAUUCGUGCGAAUGUCGCACGACAUUGUCGUGCGACGUCGUACGAUUGCACGUACGACAAACGACGGACGUCGGACGGACUUUUCAGUCAGGGUUUAGGCGAUUUUAGGAGCGCACGGGAAACAAAUUGAUUGUAGCCGGAUGAAUGUCCUAUGUCACAAAAGUUUUUGCAUAAACAUUGGACAGUUAUGCAAAAACGGACAGGGCAAAAGAAACCGAAAAGCAACGGUAUCUUACAUGUUGAAGGAAACAUCGGUAGACAAGCAUUCCUUUGUGGACCACCGAUCAGUGCGGUACUCUUGGAUAUUAGCUCCUGAAAAGUGCUUUAAAAGUGCAAAAAUGCCUCAUGGCAAGAAAAAGAGGCGGUCCUCACCAGCAGGAUCGGCAGAUUUGAAGAAGCUAAAGAAUUCCGAAGCGCUACCUGCAAAGCCAGGCAGUUUGAGCAAGGACGCUUGUUCAGCACAGAGCGAACGGCCCGAGCAGGGGUAAAUAACACGGGAAUACCAAAUUUUGGUAUUACUUGGGCAAAUAACAGGGACCAAAAUGUGCCCUUGCACGGAAAGAAGGUUUAUCGUGAAUCUUACUAAAAUUUGGUUAAAAAUCCUAAAAAAAUUGGUUGUUUUUUCAACCACCAUUUUUUUUAGUUAGAAAUCCUAAAAAAAAAUCCUGGAUCUGACAGCUGGAACUAGGUCAAAAAAAUAGUAAAUCUAGCUAAAAUGUUAGCAAAUUUUACUAAUUUGUAUGCUGGAAAAAUGCUGUCAGUCUCAAAAGCUGUAUGUUUUCAGAAAGUCUGUUAGCUAUUUUAGCUGGAUUUUAAGGUAUUCUAGCAAGCUUUAUGGUUAGCCCAGCGAGUUUUUAGGCUAUUUCAACUAGUUUUUUAGGAAUAAUUUUCAAAAUUUUCCAUUGAUGGCUGCGAAUCCAGAUAUCUUAACAAAUCUUUUUAGCUAGUUUAGCUAACCUUGCCACUAUUCUUGGUGGGUGUUUUGGUUAGAAUAGCUACUUUUUCUGCUAUUUCUACAAGUUUUUUUUUCAAAAGCCUCCGUUGCUGCCAGUAAAGCUCGCUUUAUUCACCCAGCCUUUGGCUGAUUUAGCUCAUUUCUUUUCUGAUCUUGCAACGUUUCUCGGUACAUCCAGCUAAUUUUUCGAUUUUUCGAUAACUAGUAAUUUUGAAAUCUCUUUAAAAAAAAACCGUUGCUGCCUGCAAAACUGGUUUUUUUCAACAAGUACGUUUUUUGGAAGUCCAGCAAAUUUUUUGAAUGUUUCAAUAGAUUCCAGGCUUUUUCAACUUUGUUAUAAUUGACCAUCCUGAUAUUCUAUUGAGUUAUAUUGAGUAUAUAUUCUAUUGACAAAUUUAAUAAAAAUACAAAAAUACAAAAAUACAAAAAUACAAAAGUACAAAAAUACAAAAAUACAAAAAUACAAAAAUACAAAAAUACAAAAAUACAAAAAUACAAAAAUACAAAAAUACAA